CGGACGGGUGAGUAAUGCUUGGGAAUCUGGCUUAUGGAGGGGGAUAACGACGGGAAACUGUCGCUAAUACCGCGUAAUAUCUUCGGAUUAAAGGGUGGGACUUUCGGGCCACCUGCCAUAAGAUGAGCCCAAGUGGGAUUAGGUAGUUGGUGGGGUAAAGGCCUACCAAGCCGACGAUCUCUAGCUGGUCUGAGAGGAUGACCAGCCACACUGGAACUGAGACACGGUCCAGACUCCUACGGGAGGCAGCAGUGGGAAAUAUUGCACAAUGGGGGGAACCCUGAUGCAGCCAUGCCGCGUGAAUGAAGAAGGCCUUCGGGUUGUAAAGUUCUUUCGGUGAUGAGGAAGGGUGAUGCUUUAAUAGAGCAUUACAUUGACGUUAGUCACAGAAGAAGCACCGGCUAACUCCGUGCCAGCAGCCGCGGUAAUACGGAGGGUGCGAGCGUUAAUCGGAAUGACUGGGCGUAAAGGGCACGCAGGCGGUGACUUAAGUGAGAUGUGAAAGCCCCGAGCUUAACUUGGGAAUUGCAUUUCAUACUGGGUCGCUAGAGUAUUUUAGGGAGGGGUAGAAUUCCACGUGUAGCGGUGAAAUGCGUAGAGAUGUGGAGGAAUACCGAAGGCGAAGGCAGCCCCUUGGGAAUAUACUGACGCUCAUGUGCGAAAGCGUGGGGAGCAAACAGGAUUAGAUACCCUGGUAGUCCACGCUGUAAACGCUGUCGAUUUGGGGAUUGGGCUUUGAGC
rnacentral:rRNA from 1 species